rnacentral:rRNA from 1 species
UGGGGAAUCUUGCGCAAUGGGCGAAAGCCUGACGCAGCGACGCCGCGUGUGGGACGACGGCCUUCGGGUUGUAAACCACUGUCGGGAGGGACGAAGCUCUGACGGUACCUCCAAAGGAAGCACCGGCUAACUCUGUGCCAGCAGCCGCGGUAAUACAGAGGGUGCGAGCGUUGUCCGGAAUCACUGGGCGUAAAGGGCGCGUAGGCGGCUUGGUAAGUAGGGGGUGAAAUUCCGUGGCUCAACCGCGGAACGGCCUCCUAAACUGCUAAGCUUGAGCGCGGUAGAGGCUGGUGGAAUUCCCGGUGUAGCGGUGGAAUGCGUAGAGAUCGGGAGGAACACCUGUGGUGUAGACAGCUUGCUGGACCAUUACUGACGCUGAGACACGAAAGCGUGGGUAGCAAACAGGAUUAGAUACCCUGGUAGUCCACGCCCUAAACGAUGCAUACUUGGUGUGAGCCAUUCAUUUGGUUCGUGCCGGAGCUAACGCGUUAAGUAUGCCGCCG